AUUGAACGCUGGCGGCAGGCUUAACACAUGCAAGUCGAACGGUAACAGGGAGAAACUUGUUUCUCUGCUGACGAGUGGCGGACGGGUGAGUAAUGCUUGGGAAUCUGCCUUAUGGAGGGGGAUAACCACUGGAAACGGUGGCUAAUACCGCGUAAUAUCUUCGGAUUAAAGUGUGGGACUUUCGAGCCACACGCCAUAAGAUGAGCCCAAGUGAGAUUAGGUUGUUGGUGAGGUAAUGGCUCACCAAGCUUACGAUCUCUAGCUGGUUUGAGAGGAUGACCAGCCACACUGGGACUGAGACACGGCCCAGACUCCUACGGGAGGCAGCAGUGGGGAAUAUUGCACAAUGGGCGCAAGCCUGAUGCAGCCAUGCCGCGUGAAUGAAGAAGGCCUUAGGGUUGUAAAGUUCUUUCAUUAGUGAGAAAGCGGUUAUAUCUAAUAGGUGUAACCAUUGAUGUUAGCUAAAGAAGAAGCACCGGCUAACUCCGUGCCAGCAGCCGCGGUAAUACGGAGGGUGCGAGCGUUAAUCGGAAUGACUGGGCGUAAAGGGCACGCAGGCGGUUAUUUAAGUCAGAUGUGAAAGCCCCGAGCUUAACUUGGGAAUUGCAUUUGAUGCUGGGUAACUAGAGUCCUCUAGGGAGGGGUAGAAUUCCAUGUGUAGCGGUGAAAUGCGUAGAGAUGUGGAGGAAUACCGAAGGCGAAGGCAGCCCCUUGGAGAGAGACUGACGCUCAUGUGCGAAAGCGUGGGUAGCAAACAGG
rnacentral:rRNA from 1 species